UCUAUCCCCAAUAAAA
rnacentral:tRNA from 1 species